AUUCACUUUUAAUGCCAACACACAAAAAAUAUGUUAUGCUGACUUGUUUGUUGGUUAUUUAAGAGAAAGGGACAAAAACAGUAUUUAGCGUGCUGUUUAAAUAAAAUAAUCAUUCCUUGCAUAUUUCUUCAGAAAUACAAUUCAGUGAAAACGGCUACAAACGAUAAAACAUGAGUUGGAGCAUUCGUUUUAAAGUCAUCACGAAUCCAGCCAUGCAAUAUAUGCAAUAACAGUGAAUAAUUUUUCGUUCAAUAUUUUCC